ACAACUUUCAACAACGGAUCUCUUGGCUCUCGCAUCGAUGAAGAACGCAGCGAAAUGCGAUAAGUAAUGUGAAUUGCAGAAUUCAGUGAAUCAUCGAAUCUUUGAACGCACCUUGCACCCUUUGGUAUUCCAAAGGGUACGCCCGUUUGAGUGUCAUUG
rnacentral:rRNA from 1 species